rnacentral:lncRNA from 1 species
CGUGGAGAUACAAUAGCUGCUGCUACUGGAAAGCGAAUUGUUUUGCCCUCUUCUUUCACAGGUGGACCUCGAUAUAUGGUUCAGAACUAUCAAGAUGCCAUGGCCAUAUGCAGAACUUUUGGAAAUCCUGAUAUCUUCCUGACAUUUACUGCCAAUCCAAAUUGGCCCGAGGUCAAAUAUAUGCUUCAUGAAAUACCGGGUCAGCCUGUUGAAGAUAGGCCAGACAUAAAGACACGAGUAUUUAAAAUGAAACUUGACCAAUUAAUGAAGCACAUAGUAGAAGGACAAUAUUUUGGCAAGGUUCUAUCAGGUAAAUCCAUUUCAUAUCAUCUAUUUACAAUGUCUUUUACAUUGACGAUAUUCUAACGCAUAUUUAUUUUAUAUUCUAAAAUUACAGCCAUAUAUACAAUAGAGUUCCAAAAAAGAGGACUACCACAUGCACACAUUCUUUUAUGGAUGCAUGCAAGUAAUAAGUAUCCGACACCAGCGGAUAUAGAUAAAAUUAUUACUGCAGAAAUGCCUUCAAAGGAAGACGAUCCGGCCGCUUUUAAUGCAGUGCAACAAUUCAUGUUACACGGCCCAUGUGGACUUGCAAAUACAAAUGCACCUUGCAUGCCUGACGGUGUUUGUAACAAAAACUUCCCCAAGAAGUUUUGUGCUGAAACAAUAAUUGAUAAGGAUGGGUUUCCAACUUAUAGAAGGAGAGAUGAUGGAAGACAUGUGACAAAAAAAAAUGUAAAUCUGGAUAACAGAUAUGUCGUUCCAUACAAUAGAGAUUUAUUGCUAGCAUUUCAAGCACAUCUGAAUGUUGAAUGGUGCAACAAGUCCAGAGCUAUAAAGUACCUAUUUAAGUAUAUCCACAAGGGCCCAGAUAGAGCAACAGUUCUAAUAGAAGAAAAUGUUUCAGGCAACACAGCAACAAAUGCAACGCAAAUAACAACAGUUGAUGAGAUCAAAACAUUCUUGGAUUGUAGGUACGCCAGUGUCUCACAAUUUUUAAUUGAAUACAUGUUUCAUAGCAAAAACGUAAAACAAAAUUUAAAUUUCAUUCGUUGAAAAUGCAUAUUCUUAUCACAUUCAGAUGAAUAGUUAAAAUAUUUGGAAUUAUUAUUAUUGAUGCAACUUUUGCAUGCAGAUGUGCCCAUUUUAACAAUUAUUGUAACAAAUUACAUAUAAUACUAAAUGUAUAAACUUUCCAACAUUUAUAUAAAAAACAUUCAGGUAUGUAUCGGCGUGCGAAGCAUGCUGGAGGAUAUUUAAGUUUGAUAUACACUACCGAAGUACGGCUGUUACGAGAUUGAGCUUCCAUUUACAGGAAGAAAACUCAAUCACUCUAAGAGAUUCAGAUCAACUGAAAGCCGUCGUUGCAAGAGAACGGAUUCAAGAAACGAUGUUCACGGAGUGGAUGAGAAUGAAUUCAAUGAACCAACAGGCGCGCAAGUUAACAUAUUCUGAGUUUCCCACAAAAUUUGUUUGGGAUAAUGGAAUUAAAAAAUGGAAAGAGAGGACGUUUGGAAAUACAAUUGGAAGAAUCUUUUAUGCACACCCAACAUCUGGUGAGAGGUAUUAUUUGAGAAUUUUGUUGAAUAUUGUUCGAGGGCCAAAAAACUUUGAAAGCAUUAAAACCGUUAAAGGGGUGACUUAUGCAACUUUCAAAGAAGCAUGUUAUGCACGUGGGCUAUUGAAUGAUGACAAAGAGUGGAUUGAUGCAUUCAAUGAAGCAUCACACUGGGCCACAGGUUCUCAAUUAAGAGAAUUGUUUGUUGCUGUUCUAUUCUUUUGCGAGGUAACAAAUAUAGCAAAGCUAUGGGAAAAUAUUUGGCAAAUAUUGUCAGAUGAUAUUGUCUACAAAAAAAGAAGACUCUUUCGCCACUAUGGCUUGCAACUUAGUGAUAAACAGAUCCAGUCUUACUGCUUGAUUGAAAUUGAAAAGAUUUUGGUAAGAAAUGGAAAGGAACUUUCUGAGAUUGAUGGAAUGCCAUUACCCGAUGAUGCAUCCUUGGCGGCCAAGGAUAAUCGACUUAUUACAGAAGAACUUAAUUAUAAUGCUGACGAGUUGAGGAAAGAACAUGAAAGAUGUCAUCAAUUCCUAAAUGACAAGCAGGUUGAAGUAUAUAAUCAUGUUCUAAAUGCUGUCAAUGCUGAUACGGGAGGAUUAUACUUUGUAUAUGGCCAUGGAGGAACAGGGAAGACUUUCCUAUAUAGGACGAUCAUAGCAAAACUAAGAUCGGAAGGAAAAAUAGUACUUGCUGUUGCGUCUUCGGGUAAUCCAAAACUUUCUAUACAAUUCUUAUAUACAAAAUUGUUGACUAUUUGUGAGGUAGCUAUGCCAAACUUUUUCUACAACAAUAAAUAUGUGAACCUAUAUAAUUGUAUGCUUAGACAAUCAGACGACCAAGUCAAUUUAUAUGAAUUGACAUAGUCGACCUUACUUAGAUUUUUUUUUUAUUGUCAUAAUGAAUUUAUUGUGGGAUGAAUGCAAAAUAUUUAUGUUGACCACCAGCAUGAGAGUGACAGAUACUAUACCAUUAGGAGAACAACAUAUGUCAGCAUGUGAAUUUAAUAAGUGGCUCCUUCAAAUUGGUGAUGGAAAGGUUGAAGCAAAGUGUAGAGAUCAGGAAGAGGUUGCAUCAUGGACAAAAAUACCAAUUCAAUUUCUUAUCGAACCAGCCGAUGAUCCGUUGAAACAAAUUGUCCAAAGCACAUAUCCAGAAUUGAGUAAGAAUUUCAGGAAUGAAGAAUAUCUCAGAGAAAGGGCAAUACUCACUCCUCUAAAUGAGACUGCUGAUGAGAUAAAUGAUUACAUUGUUCAGUUAACUGAAGGACCAAUAAAAGAGUAUAGAAGCUCAGAUGAGAUUGACAAGACAACUGACAAUCUUUCAGAACAAGAACUCAUGUACCCUGUAGAAUUUCUAAACUCCAUGAAGAUUAAUGGAUUUCCUAACCAUUGUUUGGAACUAAAAGAAGGAUUGCCUGUUAUGUUAUUGAGGAACAUUAAUCCUGCAUUAGGAAUGUGCAAUGGGACGAGGCUAAUUAUCACACAUCUAGGAGAUUGGGUAAUAGAGGCAAAAAUAAUUACAGGAUGCAAUGUUGGAUCAAAGGUAUUGAUCCCGAGAAUUGUUCUCACAUCUGACGACUCUAAGUGGCCUUUUCAAUUGCGCAGAAAGCAAUUCCCAUUGAAGGUAUGCUAUGCAAUGACGAUAAACAAGAGUCAGGGUCAGUCGUUAAACUACAUGGGAUUAUAUCUGCCACGACCUGUAUUCAGUCAUGGACAGUUAUAUGUGGCAUUUUCAAGAGUUACUUCACCAAAGGGUUUAAAAAUUCUGAUUAUUGAAGAAGAUCAGAAUUACAAGCAGUACACUAAAAAUGUUGUAUACCAUGAGGUAUUUAGUGACCUUCCGCAAUGUACAUAUGGUUGACAUAACAAUGUAUAUUGAAUAAUAAAAUCUUUCAGUAAACACCUCAUAAAUAGCCUAAAGUUGGUUCUUAUUUUCAACUCUAUCUUGCAGUAUUAGCCAAAUGCAACAAUUUUAUCUUCUACCAAAGCAAUUUCAAUAUGGAAAAAUAUAUAUAUGCUGAAUAUAAAUUUCAAUAUAUAUUCCCAAUAUUAAUGAUUUAUAAAACAACUUACCAACAUAAACAGCGGCAACACGAUCACGAUCUGCCAGCUGAUAAAUUUCCAGGUUGAUUUUCCCUUGAUUACGGCAUCACCUUCGAUUGUAGUCAACAGAGGAACGGAGAAGAAUCCAAUUAGAUCUUCCUUUGGAGAGCUUAAAUUGUAGUCGACUGAAGAAAACUAAAACAACCAAUUUAAAUUCACAAUAGGAGAAGAACAUGAAAAUUGCGGUUGAGAUCCUUGCUCCUGCGUUCUAAUUUUAAUUUAUCCUAUAAAGAAUGAUGAAGAAUUCGCACACCGAAAUUUAUGAGAGAUCCAAUCCUAUUUUUCCGAGAUCCAUCAAUUCUAUAAUUUAUACAUCAAUUCAACUCAAUUUGGAUAAAAUUGCUGAUGCAUCGUGAGAACUUAAACCCAUUUUUUUAUUCAUGAUAGCUUGAAGUCCUUUUUGUGUUUUUUUUUUUUUUUUUU